AGAUGUGAGGGCGAUCUGGCUGCGACAUCUGUCACCCCACUGAUCACCAGGGUUGAUUCAGCUGAUCUGGCUGGCCAGGCGGGUGUCCCCUUCCUCCCUCACCACUCCAUGUACGUCCCUCCCGAAGCUGCGCGCUUGGUGGAGGAGGACGACCAUCCCCGAUAGAGGAGGACCGUUCUUCGGUCAAGGGUAUACGAGUAGCUGCGCUCUCCUCCUAGAACCUCCAAACAAGCUCUCAAAUGCAAACUGCAUCCACCCAUCCCAAGGUUCCCCAAGAUCAUCUCAUUACAGCUCAAAUUCCAAAUCUCAUCACAUCGACAAUAUCUAAAUCAGAUUCAGGUG
rnacentral:sRNA from 1 species